rnacentral:rRNA from 1 species
ACGCUAGCUACAGGCUUAACACAUGCAAGUCGAGGGGCAGCAUGGAAGAAGCUUGCUUCUUCUGAUGGCGACCGGCGCACGGGUGCGUAACGCGUAUCAAACCUGCCUCAUACUCGGGGAUAGCCUUGCGAAAGUAAGAUUAAUACCCGAUGUUGUUAUGUUACCGCAUGGUGAUAUAACCAAAGAUUUAUCGGUAUGAGAUGGUGAUGCGUCCGAUUAGGUAGUAGGCGGGGUGACGGCCCACCUAGCCUUCGAUCGGUAGGGGUUCUGAGAGGAAGGUCCCCCACACUGGAACUGAGACACGGUCCAGACUCCUACGGGAGGCAGCAGUGAGGAAUAUUGGUCAAUGGACGGAAGUCUGAACCAGCCAAGUAGCGUGCAGGAUGACGGCCCUCCGGGUUGUAAACUGCUUUCAGUUGGGAAUAAAAAAGAGGACGUGUCCUCUAUUGUAUGUACCUUCAGAAAAAGGACCGGCUAAUUCCGUGCCAGCAGCCGCGGUAAUACGGAAGGUCCAGGCGUUAUCCGGAUUUAUUGGGUUUAAAGGGAGCGUAGGCGGAUUAUUAAGUCAGUGGUGAAAGACGGUGGCUCAACCAUCGUUAGCCAUUGAAACUGGUAGUCUUGAGUGCAGACAGGGAUGCUGGAACUCGUGGUGUAGCGGUGAAAUGCUUAGAUAUCACGAUGAACUCCGAUCGCGAAGGCAGGUGUCCGGGCUGCAACUGACGCUGAGGCUCGAAAGUGUGGGUAUCAAACAGGAUUAGAUACCCUGGUAGUCCACACAGUAAACGAUGUAUACUCGCGGUUUGCGAUACAAUGUAAGCCGCCAAGCGAAAGCAUUAAGUAUACCACCUGGGGAGUACGCCGGCAACGGUGAAACUCAAAGGAAUUGACGGGGGCCCGCACAAGCGGAGGAACAUGUGGUUU